AGCUCUAGUCCAGAGGAGAAAAGAAUAAUAAAUAUCACACUAAACACCAUGGAAUACUUCUCAAGUCACCAAAGAGAUGGAACUGGACAGAAUACUUCUGUCCAUAAGGCCCUUAGAAGCCUCCUAAGCGAAAUACCAGUGAGGACCUCCCCAGCAGCUGCUGUCUCUCCUGCCAGAGGCAUCUGGCUUAGAGCAGUGUGCGGUCGGCCAGCAAAGGGAUGACUCAAUGCUUGGACCUUCCUGACCUUCCCCUUACAGAUCUUCGAAAGGGAAGGACCUAGGAACUGAAGCCAGACCCCCACCUCUGCAAGAGUUCCUUGCUGGAGUCACUCAGCAGACCCCCACUCUCUGGACUUUGGGGACAUGAGACUGCUGAGCACCUCC
rnacentral:lncRNA from 1 species